GCAUGACCCAAUAGAAAAUAAGUGGGCAUGGCCCAAUAAGAAAUAAAAAUAAAUGGGCUUAGCCCAAAUAGAAAAAAUGGAGAAGCCCAUGGAGAGGGCCCAAAGGUCAUAAAGAAAUGAAAAAGGCCCAAUGGUAAGUUAAUGUUAUAUUUUAAGAUUUAUGGGUAGUUUAAUAUUGUGCAUAUUUUGAAUGAAAAAUAUGCAAGUUGCUUAAGGAAUUUUUAAUUAAGUUGCUACCCAUACAAAUAUGUGAUUAAGUAUACCGAGUUUAAAUUGUUCCUAGGAAAGUUUGUUGUGGAGGCGUGUCGAACGAAGUAUGUGACCGACAAAUAGAAAUAAUU
rnacentral:lncRNA from 1 species